GGGGCAUUAGCUCAGUUGGGAGAGCGCCUGAUUUGCAUUCAGGAGGUCGUGGGUUCGACUCCCUCAUGCUCCACCA
rnacentral:tRNA from 1 species